UGAGGAAUAUUGGACAAUGGGUGAGAGCCUGAUCCAGCCAUCCCGCGUGAAGGACGACGGCCCUAUGGGUUGUAAACUUCUUUUGUAUAGGGAUAAACCUACCCUCGUGAGGGUAGCUGAAGGUACUAUACGAAUAAGCACCGGCUAACUCCGUGCCAGCAGCCGCGGUAAUACGGAGGGUGCAAGCGUUAUCCGGAUUUAUUGGGUUUAAAGGGUCCGUAGGCGGAUCUGUAAGUCAGUGGUGAAAUCUCACAGCUUAACUGUGAAACUGCCAUUGAUACUGCAGGUCUUGAGUGUUGUUGAAGUAGCUGGAAUAAGUAGUGUAGCGGUGAAAUGCAUAGAUAUUACUUAGAACACCAAUUGCGAAGGCAGGUUACUAAGCAACAACUGACGCUGAUGG
rnacentral:rRNA from 1 species